UACGUAGGUGGCAAGCGUUGUCCGGAUUUACUGGGCGUAAAGGGCGUGCAGGCGGUUUGUUAAGUGCAGAGUGAAAGCUCCCGGCUCAACUGGGAGAGGUCUUUGCAUACUGGCAAACUCGAGGGAGGCAGAGGAAAGUGGAAUUCCCGGUGUAGUGGUGAUAUGCGUAGAUGUCGGGAGGAACACCUGUGGCGAAGGCGGCUUUCUGGGCCUUACCUGACGCUGAGACGCGAAAGCGUGGGGAGCGAACCGG
rnacentral:rRNA from 1 species